CUCUCUCUCUCUCUCUCUCUCUCUCUCGGCAGAACAACAACAUAAAAAUCUUUCACAUUCUCUUCUCUUCUACACCAAUUAAAUCACUUGAUAGCUCACAAAUUAUUUAGGUAUGAGUUAUUUUCCUAUUAUUUAUUAGUAAUAUAAACUCUUGUUUGUCAUUUAUGAUCUUGCAAGAAAAUAAUGACACUUAUAUGUUGAGACAGGUUAAACUUUUCUGGAACUAUUUAAGACUUUGAAAUUAUUGGUUUAAAAGUAUCAACUCAUUUAUUUGGAAGUACUGUAUUUCAUAAGAACCUGAUAUAGAUUACGUAUAUUAGAAUUUUUUUUAAAUAUAGAUUUAGAAUUGAACCGAGGAAGGAGAAUAAUUUAUUCUCAAUUUUUAUAGAGCCAUUUGAUAUAUUACUGUGUUUAAUAACUACACCUUCACUUCUUUUAAUUAAAAAGAAUACAUCCUUAAUUUUAUUUCUUUAAAAUAAAUGUUAUUUUAAUUUGGGAUAGUUUUGAAAGAAUGGGAUAAUAAUUGCGUUAAAGUUUUUAAAAUGGAUUCUAAAUUGGAAUUACUAUUUUUAUUCUAAUUUAUAAUUUAUUUGUUGUAUGUUAUUUGACUUAGAACGUAUAUACUAUGAUAAAUAAAAAUGUAUGAUAAUUAUUAUGAGUUAAAUUAGUCAAUGUUAUUUUUUAUAAAUUAUAAUUUUAAGAAGUUAAUAAUAAUAAGAUAUUUUAAUUUUAAUUUCAAAUAGUAUGGUUUUAGUAUUAUAUUUUAGUUUAACUAUUUCAAUAACAAUUUAUUUUAAGUUAUGGUUUGAUUUAUAUUUUUUUGAGGAGACAUAUUUGAUUUUACUGAUGCUUUGAAAUAAAUGGUAGUUUUAUUGUUCUAAUUUUAAUUGAGACUAGACGGAAACAAAAAUUAUGUGAGACUUAAAUUGAUUUAUAAUUUCUCUACUUUGUUUUGAAGAUAAAAUUUAUAUUAUAUAAAUAUGUCCUAAUUAACUAUACAAAAUUACUGUGCAUAUAAACUUUGUUUAUAUUAUAUUACUUGAUUUGUUGGUGUUUUUAACAACGCUCUUAUUAUUGUUGAAAAACAAAAGAGAAAUUAUCAUAUAUUUGGUAUGAAUUCAUUUUAAGAUGGAAAAUAAUAACAUUUUAAGGACUUUUGGAUUUUGAAUGAUAUCUUUUAAAUGAAAAUGGCAAGAGCCAAUUGUUGAUAUAAUAAAUGAAUUUAAAAUAGUGAUUUAGAAAUCUUUGAAUUAGUAUGUUAUUCUUUUAAGAAAAAAAAUUCAUUUUCUAUUUGAAAAGAUAUAUUCUUAAUAUAAAAUAUUUAGUUUAUGGGAAAUAAAAUCUAAACCUAAUUGAUUAAGUAAGUGGCCAAGGUAAAUCCCUCAUUAUGGAUGUAAUUGGGUUAGUGUUAACUUAAUUAAAUGGUGUAUUUUAAAAGGUUGAAAGUGUGAACGGGAUAGAGACCUAGUCGAGAGAGAGAGACAUACCGUUCUCAUGUAGCGUUAGUUGAAUGUGUUUGACGCUUGCUAAGGUAAGGGCACUUUCUAACGAUAUUAUAUAUGAUUGAAUGCAUAUGUGCUGGUAUGAAUGAUUGUGUGCCCGGUUGGGGAUGUGUGUUUCUGUUGUGAUCCUAAACUUGAUAAUGUGUUUUCAUAUGAUUUAUGAAAAUAUAUGAAUUGACUUGUGGUUAUGAUUACAUAUGUGAAGAUUAUGUAAGUUCAUAUGAUUUGUUGAAUAUAUGAAUUGACUAUUGAGAAAUAUUAUGGUGCAUUUGCAUAUAUGUGCUCAUGCAUAUCAUAGUUGUGUGUAUGUCGAGAGGACUGCACCAGUGAGGACUCUAGAGGACGAGCCCACCUAAUCCUGCGGAAUUUUAUUGAGUUGGUUUCUGUUGAGAUCACUUCUAGUGAGGCAAUACCUUGGUGUCUGUUGAGAUCACUUUUAGUGAGGCAGUACCUUGGUGUCUGUUGAGAUCACUUUUAGUGAGGCAGAACCUUUUAGUAGGAUGUGCCUACGACUCUCUGCGGAGAGGUUAAAUUCCGGAAUUCAUGCAUGUGAGGAACCUGGUUAGGGGGAUCACACCAUGUAGAGUCAGCAUUAGGCUAUUGGUGCAUUAUUUUAUUUAUUGAAAUAAAUAUUGUGACUGUUAUAUAUCAUGUAUUACUUGCAUGUGUGUAUUCUUUCGUAUAUGCUAUUUUUAGAUCGUGACCCUCUACUAUUAUUUUGUUCUGACUAACGACCACCCAGGCUGUUAGCAAUUGGGGAUAGUUAAGGUAUCUUGGUGUCGUGAAGACUUGCAAGAUGUGAAUGUCUUUGGCUAGGAGUUCAAGAUCAGCUUAGGGUUUUGUUUCAGAGUGUUGUGUGUGUUUGUUUGGGAAGUUUGUUGUUAAAGCUGAAUGCUUAAUUUGUGUGUGUGGUUUUGAACUUUGCUUGUUGUCAAAUACUCUGUACGCAAUUAUAUUUAAGUGGUCAAAUAUUUCAUGACCUUGGGCAUUGCGCUGGGCCUAUUUAUGGAAAAAAACUUAGUUCGAAAAGCUCGUACUCUGAUUUAUCAUUUUUAUUAUUCCUAAAAGGACAGUGGUCCAUAUUUUGUAAGGCAUUAAUUUUGAAAAAAAAAUACACUCGCGUUGUCAAAAAGUGGGGUGUUACAUUGUGGUAUCAGAGCUUUGGUCUAGAUUUUCAUGGGGCUGUGUGAGUCGGGUGUCCUAAGCUGAUCAAGUGUCGGGUUUAAUGGGAGUAAAUAUUUAGAGUCCUAUGUGUUAUGUGCUUGGUGUCUUGAGUCAAGCAUGAUAUAUGCUUAGGUAAUCGAUUGUUUCUUAAUUGGAGUUAAUGUACCCUAUAGUACUUCAGUAAGAAGGAUAGUUAUAACCCUAGAGCAUCAGUCGACUUUGGUCGAUAUGUGUCUCUGAAUUCUUUGGAUGUGUUGGUAUAGAAGGGACAAAAUUGAAAUCAAGUAAGAAUUACAAGGUAUUUCUUUGGUAAUUAUAUGGAUUAGUAGUUAUGUUUUUUCUCGUCACUCAGAGAUGCUGAGUGGAGACAAGUGGAAGUUAAACUUACAAAUGAUUACGAUUAAGAACCUUAUUUGAGGGGACCUUUUGAGAAAAAUUAUUGGAUGUUCAUUCUGGAGAUAUCAGAAUGAGAUGAGAUGAAGCUUAUUGACUAUUAAGAAGAUUUUAUCACUUUGGAAUUGAAGAGUAGAUACGGAUGUCAAUUGGAAAUAAUUAUAAUACUUGGAUAUCAAUGGAGCGUCUUCUCUAGGAAGAAAAUGGGUGUUGAGCGUUAAAAGUGAUCGAACCAGGGAAGUUAUACAACAGUUAUACUUUUGGCAGGUACCUGAAAGGUUAAAGUUGGUUUCUUAUGUUAGAUAUGUAAUUAAAUGUAUUAAGUAAGAAUCAUGUCAUGAUUAAAGGUAGGAUACAAAGUAUUACCCGGAUAAGUAAGAAACUAUACAUAGUUAUGGACGUUGGUGAGUAUAAAGGUUGAUAUGAGAUGAGGGUACAAAUAGUAUCAUGAAUUUAAGUGAUCAUAAGAGUUGAAAUGGGAAAGGGUUAAAUUAUUCAAAUCAUGGAUGACAAUGUUUAGAAAUUUACUAGGAAUUUGGAGGAAUAAUUUGUAUAGCAUUAGAUCGCGAGAAAUAUGUUUGUUGGUAUCUUAGUAAAAGUUAGAAAUGAAUAAGAAAAUCGAUGAGUGAAUAGACGUGCCAGGAUGAUUAGCAAGAACUUAUGCGGAAAAGAUUGAGUUGUGUUAUAAAAGAAUAUUAUGAUCUUUGGAUAGUCACGAUAAUUAAGAUGUUUUUGCAAUUAACAAGAUAAAGGUUAUGAUGUGUUGGGAAACAACUAUAGGCGGUUGAUUGCUGAAAUUUUGAAUUUCUAAACUUUUAGAUGAUCGAUGAAGAUCUAGUAUGAGGGUCUUUGGAGUUGGGGUAUAGAAAAGAUGGUCUAUCGCAAAGGAAGAUUGAAGUGGUGCACAAACAAGGAAGUGAGAAGGUAACUCACAUUUUUAAGAGAGGUUGACAACCUCGUCGUUUAAUUGGUCAAAGUUAAAAGGAGUUGUAAGAAGGACUACAAUGAGAUACCUCAAUAGAAUAUGAGAAGGAGACAGAGCAUUACAUCAAGUGUGUAUGCUAUAAAUGGUGAGGUUUCACUUGGACUUAAAUCAAAUAUUUAAGAAGUGGUAUAAGUGGAAGGAGACUAAUCUCGCAGUUGGAAAUCUUUUAUCACAAGGAUAAUGAGUAUUAUAUUUAUGACUAGAAGGAAACUUACAUUUGAAAUCAAGAUGGUAAAUUUAAAAGGGAAAACGGUGUUAGAGAUGUUACUUAUGUUAGUUAAGAAUUGUUAGGCCAAAAAGUUCUUUUGAGAAAAAGAGAAUUUAAUUGUAACAGGAAAGAAAAUUAAGAGAGAUUGAAAGCAUGUUUGGGAUAACACGAAAGACGUGAUGUGCCAAUAGUGAUGUUCAACAAAGAGGAACAUCUAAUGUUAAGGAACUCAAAGAUAAGCCAGGUAAUGAUUUGGAAAUAAGGUAGAUGUGUUAGAUUGUGAUGUAAUAGUUUAAGACUGGUGUAAAGUGAAUUGUGUCUUGUAGAUGGCAUAAUUUUGGCAUGUGGAAGAAAAUUUAGGGAGUUUCAAUCACCAACUGAAUGUUGGGAUGAUAUUAUUAUGAUUGUAAUUUCGAAUGAGACUAGAAUCUAAACAUAUACAAUUCUCCACAUUAAUGAAAUCAAAUGAGUAACUAAGGAUUUAUGGAUGUUGGUGAGUUUGUGAAGUUCUCUACGUAGAUGACACAACUUCUUUUAGAGCCAAACAAGUUAGAUUGUAGUCGGUGUAAUUGCGUUUACUACUUUGAGGGAUACUUAAUAAUUAUUCAAUGCUAAGUGAGUGUUAAAGGAGGCUGUAACUUGUUUUGGGAGAUUGUGUCUCAUUGUCGAGAUCGAAGUAGUAGGGGAUUGAGGAAAUAUUUAGUAAGCAUCAAUGGAAUUAUUUGACCCUUAUGCCUUAGAUGAAUUUGAGCACAAGUUGCAAAUAGUGCUUUUGUAGUUAGGCAAGAAUGGUUUGUGUUACCAUCAUGGUUGUCGCCUACAUAUUGACAAAUUGAGGAACUGAUCACCCUUAAUCUCUUGUUAAUAGUAGAUAGAAUCGUGUUGAACGAAACAGACGAGUCUUGCCACAGCUUUGGUAGUGCGUAAAGUUAAUUAGCAUUUUAUCAUGAGGAUAAUUAGUCACCACUUAGUGUGAACCUAGUGGAAUGGGUUGUGACGUGGAAUCCAAAGGAUUACUGUGAAAGUUUGAGCAUGUACCUAGGAUCAUAGAGGGAUUUUCGAUACGAAUGUGCUCUUGUAAGAUUAAUUAUGAUUCUAUAACAUAGUGGGAUGUCUAGUCUUACAUAUAGAGUCUGAGUCAGUGUGACUUUGUAGAGGGUUGCAAUAGGUGCACGAUCGUGUUAGUAACGACGUUAGUAAUAACAAGUUGAGUUGUUGCAAUUACCUUAAGUUUCGAGGACGAAACUUCUUUUAGGAGGGUAGUAAUGUAAGACCCAUAAUUUUAAAGUAACAAUAAGUAUCAGGGUUUUGGACUAAUAAGGGAGUGAGAAGAUUUUCGAUCAUUAAUCCAAAUAAUUGUCUAUAAAUAACACCGAGUUGUUGAGACCUUGCUAGAACACUACCAAAACUUUAGUAAGAUUGGCACAAUGUUCUAAUAAUUCUAACUAUCUAUGCAAAAUAUUCUAAUUUUAACCACAUUUAAAUAUGAGUUUACUAGGCUGACCGGUCGAAGCAAUUCAACACUGUGCAAAAAAUUAGCAGGCAAAAUAUUUCGAGUUUUAACAUGUAUCAGACUAUUUUAUUAAUCUAUGUUACACGUAGAUCAUGUCGAUAAUCUCGUUUUAUUUUUUCGACGCUAUUUACAAUCAUAUUUUACCUGCCUGAAUCUGUUUAACCGGGUUUUUUUAUUUUUAAUUUUAAUCAUUUUCAGUCUGUUUUAUUAAACUUCGCUCCGCAUAGAUCAUUUUCAUAUAUUCAUUUUUAUUUUUUGAUAAAAUACGUAUCCAACUGCUAUUCGUUCCGGUCCCCUUUCUUACAAUUUUGUUCGUGUAAAAUAGUAUUUCUUUUCACUUCAUGUAGUAUACUUAAAACCUUGUAGCCCAAAUUAUUUUAAAUUCUACACGUUUACCAUUAGAGUGAUUAAAUUAAUCAUUUAAUUUUUAGAAAACAAAAAAUAUCAUGAUAUUUUCCUUCAAGUAAUCAUUACUUAUGCAUGUGUGAGAGAGACAUCUAAUGGUUAGGAAGCAUGCUUAUCUCCAACACUAUUUUAUCCAAUGACUCUUAAUCAAGCCUAGAGCUUAUAAAUACAUAACAUUAGAUAAUCCAUAAUUCACACAACACACAACUCUUACUCUCUCUCUCUCUCGGCAGAACAACAACAUAAAAAUCUUUCACAUUCUCUCUUCUCUUCUACACCAAUUAAAUCACUUGAAAGCUCACAAAUUAUUUAGGUAUGAGUUAUUUUCCUAUUAUUUAUUAGUAAUAUAAACUCUUGUUUGUCAUUUAUGAUCUUGCAAGAAAAUAAUGACACUUAUAUGUUGAGACAGGUUAAACUUUUCUGGAACUAUUUAAGACUUUGAAAUUAUUGGUUUAAAAGUAUCAACUCAUUUAUUUGGAAGUACUGUAUUUCAUAAGAACCUGAUAUAGAUUACGUAUAUUAGAAUUUUUUUUAAAUAUAGAUUUAGAAUUGAACCGAGGAAGGAGAAUAAUUUAUUCUCAAUUUUUAUAGAGCCAUUUGAUAUAUUACUGUGUUUAAUAACUACACCUUCACUUCUUUUAAUUAAAAAGAAUACAUCCUUAAUUUUAUUUCUUUAAAACAAAUGUUAUUUUAAUUUGGGAUAGUUUUGAAAGAAUGGGAUAAUAAUUGCGUUAAAGUUUUUAAAAUGGAUUCUAAAUUGGAAUUACUAUUUUUAUUCUAAUUUAUAAUUUAUUUGUUGUAUGUUAUUUGACUUAGAACGUAUAUACUAUGAUAAAUAAAAAUGUAUGAUAAUUAUUAUGAGUUAAAUUAGUCAAUGUUAUUUUUUAUAAAUUAUAAUUUUAAGAAGUUAAUAAUAAUAAGAUAUUUUAAUUUUAAUUUCAAAUAGUAUGGUUUUAGUAUUAUAUUUUAGUUUAACUAUUUCAAUAACAAUUUAUUUUAAGUUAUGGUUUGAUUUAUAUUUUUUUGAGGAGACAUAUUUGAUUUUACUGAUGCUUUGAAAUAAAUGGUAGUUUUAUUGUUCUAAUUUUAAUUGAGACUAGACGGAAACAAAAAUUAUGUGAGACUUAAAUUGAUUUAUAAUUUCUCUACUUUGUUUUGAAGAUAAAAUUUAUAUUAUAUAAAUAUGUCCUAAUUAACUAUACAAAAUUACUGUGCAUAUAAACUUUGUUUAUAAAACUGUUAUGAUUUUCAAAACUUGAUUUGUUGGUGUUUUUAACAACGCUCUUAUUAUUGUUGAAAAACAAAAGAGAAAUUAUCAUAUAUUUGGUAUGAAUUCAUUUUAAGAUGGAAAAUAAUAACAUUUUAAGGACUUUUCGAUUUUGAAUGAUAUCUUUUAAAUGAAAAUGGCAAGAGCCAAUUGUUGAUAUAAUAAAUGAAUUUAAAAUAGUGAUUUAGAAAUCUUUGAAUUAGUAUGUUAUUCUUUUAAGAAAAAAAAUUCAUUUUCUAUUUGAAAAGAUAUAUUCUUAAUAUAAAAUAUUUAGUUUAUGGGAAAUAAAAUCUAAACCUAAUUGAUUAAGUAAGUGGCCAAGGUAAAUCCCUCAUUAUGGAUGUAAUUGGGUUAGUGUUAACUUAAUUAAAUGGUGUAUUUUAAAAGGUUGAAAGUGUGAACGGGAUAGAGACCUAGUCGAGAGAGAGACAUACCGUUCUCAUGUAGCGUUAGUUGAAUGUGUUUGACACUUGCUAAGGUAAGUGCACUUUCUAACGAUAUUAUAUAUGAUUGAAUGCAUAUGUGCUGGUAUGAAUGAUUGUGUGCCCGGUUGGGGAUGUGUGUUUCUGUUGUGAUCCUAAACUUGAUAAUGUGUUUUCAUAUGAUUUAUGAAAAUAUAUGAAUUGACUUGUGGUUAUGAUUACAUAUGUGAAGAUUAUGUAAGUUCAUAUGAUUUGUUGAAUAUAUGAAUUGACUAUUGAGAAAUAUUAUGGUGCAUUUGCAUAUAUGUGCUCAUGCAUAUCAUAGUUGCGUGUAUGUCGAGCGGACUGCACCAGUGAGGACUCUAGAGGACGAGCCCACCUAAUCCUGCGAGAUUUUAUUGAGUUGGUUUCUGUUGAGAUCACUUCUAGUGAGGCAGUACCUUGGUGUCUGUUGAGAUCACUUUUAGUAAGGCAGUACCUUGGUGUCUGUUGAGAUCACUUUUAGUGAGGCAGAACCUUUUAGUAGGAUGUGCCUACGACUCUCUGCGGAGAGGUUAAAUUCCGGAAUUCAUGCAUAUGAGGAACCCGGUUAGGGGGAUCACACCAUGUAGAGUCAGCAUUAGGCUAUUGGUGCAUUAUUUUAUUUAUUGAAAUAAAUAUUGUGACUGUUAUAUAUCAUGUAUUACUUGCAUGUGUGUAUUCUUUCGUAUAUGCUAUUUUUAGAUCGUGACCCUCUACUAUUAUUCUGUUGUGACUAAUGACCACCCAGGCUGUUAGCAAUUGGGGAUAGUUAAGGUAUCUUGGUGUCGUGAAGACUUGCAAGAUGUGAAUGUCUUUGGCUAGGAGUUCAAGAUCAGCUUAGGGUUUUGUUUCAGAGUGUUGUGUGUGUUUGUUUGGGAAGUUUGUUGUUAAAGAUGAAUGCUUAAUUUGUGUGUGUGGUUUUGACCUUUGCUUGUUGUCAAAUACUCUGUACGCAAUUAUAUUUAAGUGGUCAAAUAUUUUAUGACCUUGGGCAUUGCGCUGGGCCUAUUUAUGGAAAAAAACUUAGUUCGAAAAGCUCGUACUCUGAUUUAUCAUUUUUAUUAUUCCUAAAAGGACAGUGGUCCAUAUUUCGUAAGGCAUUAAUUUUGAAAAAAAAAUACACUCGCGUUGUCAAAAAGUGGGGUGUUACAGUCAUCCUCCCUUUAAAGGCUUACGGCUUAGCAGGAGUUGAAUAUCACAAAACACAUGCAAAGUAAAUACAUAAUUAAAAAUGAGUGAUAGCGAAAUAAUUUAUUCAAGACAAACAUAUGCAAUGCACUGAUGAUGAUUAUUAAAGCAAAUAAUGUCUAUCAUAAGUCAAAUGUUUAAACAAGAAGGAAAGAAAUUGCAAAUGAAAGUAAAUCUAAUGAUCUAAAAGUCUAUCUUUCUAGCCAUCCACAGCAUUAGCUAUCUUGUUGUGAUUAGGCAUGGGAGCAGUGAUCACAUUAGGAGUUGCAGGAGGGUCGAACUCAAUUUCACCAGUGUCGAUCAUAUCUUGGAUCUUAUUCUUCAACGGCCAACAAUUCUCCGUGUCAUGUCCAGGACUGUUAGAAUGAUAUGCGCACCUCGCAUUAGGCUUGUAACUAGGAGCAGAGGUGUUAGGAUUCUUAGGAGGACCCCUCAGAGUGAUCAAAUUUGCCUUUAGCAGAUGUUGUAAGGCUUGAGCUAGCGACAUAUUGAUCUUUGUGAAUUGAUGUCUGGGUGUAUCUUGUUUGUUUUAACGACCUUGUUGAGGCACCGGUGUGGAGCUCAGAACUGCCCAAAUAGAUUAAUCAUGGCUUAUCCUUUUCCGCCCAUACACAACAUUGGAAUAUGACCUCCCAUUGGAAUGCUUCUUUGUAGUACCUGAGGAUGUAGCCAUUUGAAUCUUACCACUUCGAAUACCACUCUUGACACGUUCCCCAAUCAGUAUGAGUUCAGUGCAUCCAGAUGAUAAACUUCCCAGCAAAUGACUAUAGAAAGGACCAGUUAGUGUACUCAUAAACAUAUCGACCAAUUCUCUGUCAGCUAAGGAGGGUUUGACUCUUCCAGCUAGAUCUCUCCAUUUUUGAGCAUACUCCUUGAAACUUUCCUCGGAUCCCAUAUACAUGCUUUGUAGUUGCAUGCGAGUUGGUGCGAGGUCAGCAUUGUAUUGGUAUUGCUGAUAAAAAGCAACAACCAAAUCUUCCCAGGUACGGAUGUGGGUACUCUCCAGUUGAUAGUACCAUUCGAGUUGAGUUCCAGCUAAGCUCUCUUGGAAAAAGUGGAUCCAGAGCUUCUUAUCAGCAGUAUGAGGUUGAAUCUUCCUUACAUAAGACCUCAAGUGUAGUUUAGGAUAGGAGACUCCAUCAUACUUAGCAAAGGCGAGAGUUUUGAAUUUUGGAGGAAUAACGACCCCAGGAACGAGUCCAAGCUCUUCAAAAUCCAACCCAGGUACCUUCUGAAUUUCCAUGCUUCUCAGACGCUCUUGUAACAUCUUGUAUUUGUCAUCGGGAUGUUCGUCCUCAUGGUAAUAGUCCUCUUCUUCUUUGGAGAGUUUGGCAGAAUCAUGGUUACUUUUUUCAUGAGUUUUGAUACUAGCAUCAUCAUCUUGCUCAUCCUCAUCACUGUCUUCAGAGGCUUCGGCAUCCCUGAGUUGCAAGAUCGGUCUAAGCUUUUUCACCAGAGUCUUCUUACCCUUCUUCCUCUUCUUUUUAGUCAGCAUGGCUUUCAGCUCUUCUUGCACCUUGGACAAAUUCAUAAUCAAGGCUUGGAACUCAGUGUUUUGAGCUUGGAGAUCCUUAACUGAUUGUUCGAGAUUAAUGAUGCUGAAGUAAACAGCGAGGAAGGAUGAGAGACCUAUUGUAAGAAACCUGUUAUACGAUGUUAUGAAUGCAAAUGCAAUAUUUUCAAGGAUCUUUAGGCAUUUAGUUAGCAACAUUAGAAAAUGAUUUGGUCGCGUCUUUGUCUGAAGAAAUUUGACUUUCGUCUGUGAGUACCCUUCUUUGAGAAUCAAGCUCACCAUAUCGAGUGGGUCAUUGCCUCCGAUUCGGGAUGCUUCUGAAUUUGAAGGUACAUGGCUAGAGAAAAAUAAAUCCUCUUGCCCCUCGAUAAGUAUUGAGUCUCUGAAUUGGAAGGUAUGUGGCCAGAGGAAAAUAAAUCCUCUUGCCCCCUGACAGGAAUUCAGUCUUUGAUAAAGGCACCUGAAAUUGUGCGCCCUAAAUUCCUAAGAUCCUUGAAAGGGUUAGUUAAAUCAUGUUAUGCUUAUGAUGUCAUGAUGUCAUGGUGUUAUGCGAAUGCAGUUCAUUAGGCAAAGCGUGAGACAGUAAGGGCGAACAAGUCCUUUUAACAAAACCUGCAAGGAAACGAAGGUUAGUAGCAAACACAGGCAAGUCACACAAGUCACGCAAGUCACACAAUUUUUGGCUUAAGGCUUGCAUGGGGUCUGAUCAGGUGUCCUUCCCAAGGGUAUUUCUAUGGAUAAGGAGAUUUCAGCAACGGGUUCUACAAGUUAUCCAUAAUUGUCAGCCCUUCUAAAGCACCCUCGGACAUGAUGCAUUUGCAUCAUGCAAUUAUACUUUGAGAAAGGACCUAUCUGAAUUGUAGCAUCGAGUAGCGACUAGUUCUCAACAUUUGUCAAGAGUAGUCCCCACACUACGUUCCUAAAGGCUAGGAUGGGUUAAGGGUAACUAAAGGUCCUUGAGCUCCGGCGCACCUGUAGACACAUACAUAGACCCCCUCAUUUGAGAAAGGUGUGCAUAUGCUAUGGAGUCCUAACUCAAGUGUGAACUUCAUAUUGACUCAUCUCCCACAUAUGUGAAAGAGGUCGCCAUGACUAUGCCACUCCUAAUCUUAAGUUUUCUUGAAUCCGGGUAUAGGAUUUGUCCUUCAGUUAUUCCCGAAACGCCCUUGAAAAGUAAAGCAAGCAAAGCACACAAUAGAAAACAUUUAAAUGAAUCCUAAACUUUUAAGGUAACCCCUCUUUUAUUCGAAAAAUCCCCAGCAGAGUCGCCAGUUCUGUAAUACGGUGAACUGACUUUAAUCAAAAUGUCGCGGUUAAGCAAGAGUUGCCACCAACUUUUAUUUUAUCCAAAUUAAUUAGAAAGGCUAAAAGAACAGGAAAAACCUUUUAAAUAAAAACAGAGUUCGGGGGGUAAUUAUGUAAAGGGAAGGUGUAAGGCACCCUUUACAUCCAUGGUUUUCCAUGGGCUCUUAAUUGCUUUGCUCGUUUUGAAAAGAAAUGUAGAAGAAUAUAAAACGGACUUUAGCUCGUAAAUGAGCGUAGCCAUUUUGAAGGUUUAUGAGAAAGAAUAUGAAAAAGUUUUAGAGCAAGGCAAAGCAAUUAGGGGCAAUUACCUGGUUGGAUGAAAAAUGUUCUUUUAGCCUUUCAGGGUGAAAGAGUCUAUCCAUGCUGUAACUCGGUGAACUGACUUUUAUUUUAUAAAGCAACAAUGUUGCGGUGAGCAUGAGUCGCCACCGACUUUUAUUUUGUCCAAUGUUAGGAAAGAUAAAAAGUACAGAAAAAAGACCCUUUUGAAAGAAAACGGGCUCGGGGGGUAAGUUAUGAAAAGGGAAGGUGUAAGCACCCUUUUCAUCCGUAAUUAUCUACGGGCUCUUAACUUGCUUAGCUCAUGUUUGUUUGUUUUGAGUUGAAAAGAAAUAUAAGGACUUUAGCGUAAAUGCGUAGCCUUAGUUUUUUUGAAAUAGUGUGGAAAAGAUGUCUUUUAUUGAGCUAGGCAGGCAAAGAGAACUACCCCAAUUAAUUAGUCCUUUUCUGUACUUUUUACGAUUCCCACGAUCAUCCACACUAUAUAGAAUUAGGAAAUCCUUGUUAUAUUGGACAUGCGGGUCAUCGAAGGGUCUUCGAGGUCGUUUGAAGUAGGGGUGAUCGUAUCCGAACCAAUCCAAAAGGAAAACCGCAAACCGAACAAAUCCAAACCGAAAACCGCAAAAACCGCGUUUGGUUUGGAUGGUUUUGGAUGAUUUUUGAGCCAAACCGCACGGUUCGGUUCGGUUUGCGGUUUUCAUUUUCCAAAACCGAACCAAACCGCAUAUUUGACUAAACUUUUGAAUUUCUAUAAUUAAUUUAUUAUAUUUUCAAUCCAAUUGCAAUAUUGUACACUCACAACACGUGACUCACUAUUCCUUCAUUAUUCCUUUUAUUCAACAUUUCAACUUUAUUCUCUGAUUUCUCUCUCACUCAUUCUAGAGAAGUAUUUGGUGUAUAUGUAGUAGUAUUUGUGGUGUCGUUUUUUUUACCUCCCUGUUUCACUUGGGAGGACGGCACGCUAGACCCUUCACGCGAAAUUUGUAACAUCCCUAUUUUUAUUAAUAUUUUUAUUAAUUAUAUUAGUAAUUAUAUUAUUUGGUGUUUUUAAUAAUUGCUUAUUUAUUUAGUUAUUAUGUGAUAUAAUAAUUAUUUGAAAUAUUUAAUUGUAUGUGUGUUUGUGUUAGUGUUAUUUGGGUUUAUUAAGUUGUAUGAGAGAUAUAGCUAAAUGGGCCUAAGUGAUAGAUUGGUGGGUUAAGCCCAAAUGACAUAAGUGAGAUAGUAAGAGAAGGUUAAGGUUUUAGAGGUUACUAUUUUCAUUUGGGGGAAAAGAUAGGAAGAAGAGAAAAGAGGCAAAAGGGAAGAGAACAAUGGUGGAAGAGAAAAGGUAGAAGAACUCUCAUUUUCGCAGCUAUGUUUCAGCAAAGAGUCGCCUUAGCAAAACGGACGUAUCUCUCAAUCCAACCGUUGGAUCGUUGCGGUACUUGGAUACAACGUUCCUGACCCAUAGAGGUGUGUCUCCUAGUGAUGUUAGAAAGGAUUUCUUUUGGAGAAAAGCUUAGAGUUAUGGUGAAAGAGUCCAUAUUUACCAAGGUACUCAAGUAUAACUAUGGAAGUUUGUAGGUUCAUCGUAUCCAGUUGGUGUGUCGCUCUGAUACGUAGCACUCGGGGGUUGUCUAUAUUGUUGUUUCUAUGUUGUUCAUGUUUUAGUUGUUGAGUUCCAAAUUGGAUAUUGAGAAGUACUAUGAUGUUUGAAUUUGUUUCCGAUUAAAUAAGAUGAUUUGUUUAUAAAGCUGAAUGUUAUGAUUCCGCUGCAUAUUAAAAUGAAGUUGGUUUGUCUAAGAGCUGUUAUAAGUUGCUUUGUGCUUACCUGAGAUUAAAGUGCUAUGUAUCUGUUUAUGAGUUGUUAAUAUGAAGUAAAUGUGAUAUCCCAAAUACUUGUUGAUAGUUUUUAAAAUACUCUGAUUUCACGCAUGAUAUUUUCGGGUAGAAUUUGGGGUGUUACAUUAGUGGUAUCAGAGCAGGUCGGUCCGUCCGGCCAAGUUGUCGAGUCAGUUGAGUAGUGUGACAGUUGAAUGAUGUUAGUGUUUUAUUCCUUAGUACGCGACAUGUGUGUGAAACACUGUUGGUACUUGUUCAUUUUGUUGCAGGGUUAGUUUGAGCGAAGUAGGGAAGAAGCUGUACUUCUUGGAUAUGUUUCAGUUGUAAGUUAUUGGUGCAAUAUAUUUCUUAAGGAGACAGAUCAAGCAAUGUAGAAGUUUGUUGGUUUCCGAAUUCGAAGGUAACAUGGAUUUAAGAUUUUGGUUGUUUAACAAGUCGGAACGUCUUGGAAUAAGGACAAUUGUUAUAAGAUGGAAUUUAGGAAGUUGUCAUAUUCAGCAUUAUUGGUGGACUGUGAAGUUAUCAGUUUAAGUAACCGUUGCGUAGGAUGUUGACGUAAGAAUAAUUAUUAAGCGACGAAUUACGGUAGACCUUGUCAAGGGAUCCUUGGCAAGAGAUUGGAAAAGUUGUCGAAGUUGUUGGAACGUUCAAGUCGGAGUUAGAAAUGCGAAGGGACGAGUAUGAUUCCAAGAAUAAAAAGUGUUGAUAGUGGUGUAAAGGAAUUAUGUUCUAAUGUUAUCACAAGGUGUGUGUUAGCAUGUUCAGAUGAUUUUGGGAGUUAAUGAAGUAUGGUACUUUUGGUGACGUAAAGGAUUCUAUUGCAGUUAAGUAACGAUGGUUUACGCUACCAUUAUGGUU